rnacentral:lncRNA from 1 species
GUCCGCUCUGUGAGCCAGAAUUAGAACUAGUUUUCUGACUGGGGCUCCCCUGGAGGACUCCUGGUCUUGCUGCUGGACCCUGGGGUCCCUCCCGGGGAGGCAGCCUCCGCAUCCCGGUGUGAAGGGUGCGCGAGUUCCCUGCUGAGCAGGUGCAGAGAGCUGCUUCUGUGCAGAAGCAUCCAGAGCCCCAUGCUCCCAUUCGUGACCCCUUAAUCACACGGCACACAUCUCAGAUGAACGGACACAGGCACCCCACAAAGUGAUGCAAUGAAGCCUGUGACCACAGAGGUGACCUUCAUUCAGGGAGGCCCAGCCGGGUCCUGAGGGAUGUUCCGAGGAUGGCUUCCCGGGCCACUUUGGGUGGCCUAGGAGGACUCGCUCACUGGGGUCCUGAGCACCUGCUGGCGACGCAUCCCUGCCUGAUUUGAUGACGCUGUCACCCGUGGCUGUCUCACCCGUGCUGUGAGCCCCCAGCCUCCGAGCCGCCAGGAGCCUCACAGAGGAGCGAGUGGGACCGACCAGAGGGAGACUGAGGAGCGUGGUCGUGGGAGGCGGGACAAGACAGGGCCUGGACUCACUGGAAAGGGGGCCUGGCUCUCCCGGAACACAGAGCCCCAGACUGCGGAGGCCCUGAGUGCCCAGUGCACCCCGGCCCUGAGGCCACGGGCUGAGCGCGGCCGGAGCUGCAGGUGCAGACCCCCAGGCGCCGCCCUCAAGGCAGUGCCCGGCGAGGGCAGCCACGCGCCUGUGCCCCUGCAGAUACGAGAAGGGAGCCCAGGGCCCGUGUGGUGAGCAGGGAGGAGACAGCGCGCCAACCAAGCUCGUUUGAAGCACCGCGCGGUCUGGCCGGCAGCCCAGGAGCGUCCUCAGGGCGAACCGCCCGACUGCCGGACCGGAAGUGGCUCUUCCAUUGACCCCGCAUCCUCGCAGGCCAAAGAGGAUACCUUUUAUGCUAAACCAACAGGCUGGACUGAAUUUGCUGAACGUGUCUGUGCCCUGUUGUUGCAAACGCCCCCGAGCAGGGGAGGUCCGUGGGUGACUGCCACGCCCUCGUGGAACCAGAGGAGGGGCCGGAAGUUGACAGAAAUGCUUAUGGUGCCACCAAGACACGGACGGGCCGACAGCGUAACAGUCACCAGCACAGCUGCGCUGCGCACGCGGCACGCAGAGCCGCCGGGUGUUUUCGUUUGUCUAGACUAGAAAUUCAGGUGGACCGCAGCUCCCG